CGUCAUCGUAGGGUUAGUCGGGACCUAAGUCGAGUCCGAAAGGGGUAGACGAUGGCAAAUUGAUUAAUAUUUCAAUACCAACAUAUAAGCGCGAUGUGGGGACGCAUAGAGUUAAUCGAGCUCACUGAUGGAAUAGUGGGUCGAAGGAUGUAGGUUGUACAGUAGGCAAAUCCGCUGUACAUUAGACCGAGAUCUUACAGGCAGAGCAAUUACUUCGGUAAGCGCUUUGAACCCUUGAUACUGUCGUGCCGAGAAAAGCCUCUAAGCGAGAACAACCGUUGCCCGUACCGUAAACCGACACAGGUGGGUGAGAUGAGUAUUCUAAGGCGCGUGGAUGAACCCUGGUUAAGGAACUCUGCAAACUAGCACCGUAUCUUCGGUAUAAGGUGUGCCUACAUUGUUAAGGGACUUGCUCCCAAAAGCAAUCUAAGGUCGCAGCAAAGUGUCCCUCCCGACUGUUUAC
rnacentral:rRNA from 1 species